AUUGAACGCUGGCGGCAUGCUUUACACAUGCAAGUCGAACGGCAGCACGGGUGCUUGCACCUGGUGGCGAGUGGCGGACGGGUGAGUAAUGCAUCGGAACGUGUCCUGAAGUGGGGGAUAACGCAUCGAAAGAUGUGCUAAUACCGCAUAUUCUCUGAGGAGGAAAGUAGGGGAUCGAAAGACCUUAUGCUUUUGGAGCGGCCGAUGUCUGAUUAGCUAGUUGGUAGGGUAAUGGCUUACCAAGGCGACGAUCAGUAGUUGGUCUGAGAGGACGACCAGCCACACUGGGACUGAGACACGGCCCAGACUCCUACGGGAGGCAGCAGUGGGGAAUUUUGGACAAUGGGCGCAAGCCUGAUCCAGCAAUGCCGCGUGAGUGAAGAAGGCCUUCGGGUUGUAAAGCUCUUUCAGUUGAGAAGAAAAAGUCGCGACUAAUAAUCAUGAUUCAUGACGGUAUCAACAGAAGAAGCACCGGCUAACUACGUG
rnacentral:rRNA from 1 species